UUCAGUUCUCUCGUUGGUCUUUUCUUAACUAUUAUAAUCUUUUCUCUCCACCCCCCGUUCUCGGAGAAGUUUCGGGAAAACGCCUCCCAGCUACUUUUGAGGUCACGAAAUCUCCACUGCCACCUCCACCUCACUACCUGUUCAUCCUGAGAGCUCAGUGAAGGUUGAACUUGGCCUUACAGAAUCCCGAAACUAGUCAUAGUUUACAGUUCCAGUCUACAAGCCCGUCAUCAGCUCGCAGUUCCAGGAUAAUCUAAGCGACCACCAAGAUAAUUCACUUUUUUAACCCUCGACAACUACUCCUUUUUUCUCUAUUACAGUAGUCGCGCUCCGCCAGCUUCUCCGCCUCUACGCCAUCGCCCAAUCUACUGCCUGAGACCUCCACCCUACCAUAGCUAAAAACUUGAUGCUGGUGUGCAGGAUCUGUCUGAGGGUGCGCAGGUCCGUCCAUACCAUUGAAAUAGGGGAUAAGAUUCGCAUUCGUCCACCUUGUAGAUAUGGAUUGACGGCGUAGGAUCAGGCUGCCAAUGAGAGAAGCAAUGCCCGGAAGAGAACUCUGAGGAAUACAGAUCGAUGUUCAUGGGUCCGGUCAUGUAUGUCGGAGCAGGGUUAAAGGAGGUACUCGGUGGAGGAAGAUAGGAAGUGAUGGGCGUGAAGGUUAGAAGGUCGGUCUGAAUGGAUGAUGGAGUAAGAGGACCAAAAGAACUG
rnacentral:sRNA from 1 species